rnacentral:rRNA from 1 species
AACAAACGCUGGCGGCGUGCCUAACACAUGCAAGUCGUACGAGAAAGGGUCCUUCGGGGCCUGAGUAAAGUGGCGCACGGGUGAGUAACGCGUGGAUAAUCUGCCCUUCAGUUGGGAAUAACUCAUCGAAAGGUGGGCUAAUACCGAAUAAUGCUGUGAGACCUCGGUUGAUCAGCCAAAGGGAGCCUCUGCUUGCAAGCCCUCGCUGAAGGAUGAGUCCGCGUACCAUUAGCUAGUUGGUAGGGUAAUGGCCUACCAAGGCGACGAUGGUUAGCUGGUCUGAGAGGAUGAUCAGCCACACUGGAACUGAGACACGGUCCAGACUCCUACGGGAGGCAGCAGUGAGGAAUCUUGCGCAAUGGGGGCAACCCUGACGCAGCAACGCCGCGUGAGUGAGGGAGGUCUUCGGAUCGUAAAGCUCUGUCGGAUGGAAAGAACCGCAUAGGGGUAAACAGCCCCCGUGUCUGACGGUACCAUCAAAGGAAGCACCGGCUAACUCCGUGCCAGCCGCCGCAGUAACAC